rnacentral:rRNA from 1 species
UACAGAGGUCUCAAGCGUUGUUCGGAUUCAUUGGGCGUAAAGGGUGCGUAGGCGGUGACGUAAGUUGGAUGUGAAAUCCCGGGGCUUAACCCCGGAACUGCAUUCAAUACUGCGUUGCUAGAGUACUGGAGAGGAGAGUGGAAUUCACGGUGUAGCAGUGAAAUGCGUAGAUAUCGGGAGGAACACCUGUGGCGAAAGCGGCUCACUGGACCACAACUGACGCUGAUGCGCGAAAGCUAGGGGAGCAAACAGG